rnacentral:rRNA from 1 species
CUCCAAUAGCGUAUAUUAAAGUUGUUGCAGUUAAAAAGCUCGUAGUUGAAUUUCGGGAUCAAUAUAUCGGUCGUGCCUUGGUACGUACUGGUAUCAUUGGUUUCUCCUUUCUGACGAACCAUGAUGUCAUUAAUUUGGUGUUAUGGGAAGUUAGGACUGUUACUUUGAAAAAAUUAGAGUGUUUAAAGCAGGCUUUAGCUUGAAUACAUUAGCAUGGAAUAAUGAAAUAGGACGUUCGAACCUAUUUUGUUGGUUUCUAGGAUCAACGUAAUGAUUAAUAGGGAUAGUUGGGGGCAUUAGUAUUCAAUUGUCAGAGGUGAAAUUCUUGGAUUUAUUGAAGACUAACUACUGCGAAAGCAUUUGCCAAGGAUGUUUUCAUUAAUCAAGAACGAAAGUUAGGGGAUCGAAGACGAUCAGAUACCGUCGUAGUCUUAACCAUAAACUAUGCCGACUAGGGAUCGGAUGAUGUUAAUUUUUUAAUGACUCAUUC